UACGUAGGGCAGCAAGCGUUGUUCGGAGUUACUGGGCGUAAAGAGUAUGUAGGCGGUUGGGUAAGUUUGGUGUGAAAUCUCCCGGCUUAACUGGGAGGGUGCGCUAAAGACUGCCUGGCUCGAGUGUGGGAGAGGAAAGCGGAAUUCCUGGUGUAGCGGUGAAAUGCGUAGAUAUCUGGAGGAAUACCGGUGGCGAAGGCGGCUUCCUGGACCGACACUGACGCUGAGGCGCGAAAGCUAGGGGAGCAAACGG
rnacentral:rRNA from 1 species